AUGGCCUGCGAGGUUUUGUGCACCAAGGGGGUGGCUGAGGAGAGGUCGGCGACGGGGAAGGCCGGGCUGAUCACCAAGGCACUGGACCGGUGCUGGAGUACGACGGCAAGGAACUGCAAGCCAGCAGAGGGCUGCUUCUCGGUGUACGUCGGCGUGGGCAGGCAACGGUUCGUCGUGAGGACGGAGUGCGUGAACCACCCAUUGUUCCGGGUGCUUCUGGAGGAGGCCGAGGAGAUGUUUGGUUACGCAGCCACAGGGCCCCUUGAGCUGCCCUGCAACUCUGAGGCGUUCGCCGGGGUGCUGGAGCAGAGGAGAUGCAGAUGGCGGAAGGGAGGAGGUACGGCCUCCCCAGGGGGAAUUCCUACCGGCUGCUCGGCACCGGUCAGACUGUCAUCAUCAGCCGGUUGUAGCAGUAUAGUGGAUUGGCAUUGA
rnacentral:rRNA from 1 species